CGCGUGAGGAACCUGCCUCAAAGAGGGGGACAACAGUUGGAAACGACUGCUAAUACCGCAUAAGCCCACGGCUCGGCAUCGAGCAGAGGGAAAAGGAGCAAUCCGCUUUGAGAUGGCCUCGCGUCCGAUUAGCUAGUUGGUGAGGUAACGGCCCACCAAGGCAACGAUCGGUAGCCGGACUGAGAGGUUGAACGGCCACAUUGGGACUGAGACACGGCCCAGACUCCUACGGGAGGCAGCAGUGGGGAAUAUUGCACAAUGGGGGAAACCCUGAUGCAGCGACGCCGCGUGGAGGAAGAAGGUCUUCGGAUUGUAAACUCCUGUUGUUGGGGAAGAUAAUGACGGUACCCAACAAGGAAGUGACGGCUAACUACGUGCCAGCAGCCGCGGUA
rnacentral:rRNA from 1 species